AUUGAACGCUGGCGGCAUGCCUAACACAUGCAAGUCGAACGGUAACAGGCCCUUCGGGGCGCUGACGAGUGGCGGACGGGUGAGUAAUGCUUAGGAAUCUGCCUAGUAGGUGGGGGAUAACCCGGGAAACUCGGGCUAAUACCGCAUACGUCCUACGGGAGAAAGCGGGGGACCGUUCGGGCCGUCGCGCUAUUAGAUGAGCCUAAGUCCGAUUAGCUAGUUGGUAGGGUAACGGCCUACCAAGGCGACGACGGUUAGCUGGUCUGAGAGGACGACCAGCCACACUGGGACUGAGACACGGCCCAGACUCCUACGGGAGGCAGCAGUGGGGAAUAUUGGACAAUGGGCGCAAGCCUGAUCCAGCGAUG
rnacentral:rRNA from 1 species